rnacentral:rRNA from 1 species
UACGGGGGGGGCAAGCGUUGUUCGGAAUUACUGGGCGUAAAGGGCUCGUAGGCGGCCAACUAAGUCAUACGUGAAAUCCCUCGGCUUAACCGGGGAACUGCGUCUGAUACUGGAUGGCUUGAGUUCGGGAGAGGGAUGCGGAAUUCCAGGUGUAGCGGUGAAAUGCGUAGAUAUCUGGAGGAACACCGGUGGCGAAGGCGGCAUCCUGGACCGACACUGACGCUGAAAAGCGAAAGCCAGGGGAGCAAACGGG